GAGUUUGAUCGUGGCUCAGAUUGAACGCUGGCGGCAUGCCUUACACAUGCAAGUCGAACGGCAGCAUGAUCUAGCUUGCUAGAUUGAUGGCGAGUGGCGAACGGGUGAGUAAUACAUCGGAACGUGCCCUGUAGUGGGGGAUAACUAGUCGAAAGAUUAGCUAAUACCGCAUACGACCUGAAGGUGAAAGUGGGGGACCGCAAGGCCUCAUGCUAUAGGAGCGGCCGAUGUCUGAUUAGCUAGUUGGUGGGUAAAGGCCCACCAAGGCGACGAUCAGUAGCUGGUCUGAGAGGACGAUCAGCCACACUGGGACUGAGACACGGCCCAGACUCCUACGGGAGGCAGCAGUGGGAAUUUGGACAAUGGGCGAAAGCCUGAUCCAGCAAUGCCGCGUGUGUGAAGAAGGCC
rnacentral:rRNA from 1 species